AUUGAACGCUGGCGGCAUGCUUUACACAUGCAAGUCGAACGGCAGCACGGGUGCUUGCACCUGGUGGCGAGUGGCGGACGGGUGAGUAAUGCAUCGGAACGUGUCCUAAAGUGGGGGAUAACGCAUCGAAAGAUGUGCUAAUACCGCAUAUUCUCUGAGGAGGAAAGUAGGGGAUCGAAAGACCUUAUGCUUUUGGAGCGGCCGAUGUCUGAUUAGCUAGUUGGUAAGGUAAUGGCUUACCAAGGCGACGAUCAGUAGUUGGUCUGAGAGGACGACCAGCCACACUGGGACUGAGACACGGCCCAGACUCCUACGGGAGGCAGCAGUGGGGAAUUUUGGACAAUGGGCGCAAGCCUGAUCCAGCAAUGCCGCGUGAGUGAAGAAGGCCUCGG
rnacentral:rRNA from 1 species